rnacentral:rRNA from 1 species
AAUCGACGCUGGCGGCGUGCCUAACACAUGCAAGUCGAACGAGAAAGUGGAGCAAUCCAUGAGUAAAGUGGCGACCGGGUGAGUAACACGUGACUAACCUGCCUUCGAGUGGGGGAUAGCCUCGGGAAACCGGGGCUAAUACCGCAUAAUGCCUACGGGUUAAAGGAGCAAUUCGCUUGAAGAGGGGGUCGCGGCUGAUU